rnacentral:rRNA from 1 species
AGUACAGACGUAGUUUGAUCCUGGUCUCAGGAUAGAACGCUGGCGGCGUGCCUAAUACAUGCAAGUCGAACGGGGAGUAGCAAUACUUCUAGUGGCGAACGGGUGAGUAACGCGUUGGUGACCUGCCCCGAAGCGUGGGAUACCAAUCCGAAAGGAUUGCUAAUACCGCAUGGAGUUCUCGAGAUUAGAGGCUUGGGAACGAAAGGAGACAUUCACUUCGGGAGGGGCCUCGCGUCCCAUCAGCUAGUUGGUGAGGUAACGGCUCACCAAGGCGAUGACGGGUAGGGGACCUGAGAGGGUGGCCCCCCACAAUGGAACUGAAACACGGUCCAUACACCUACGGGUGGCAGCAGUAGGGAAUAUUGCAAAAUGGGCGCAAGCCCGAUGCAGCAACGCCGCGUGGACGAUGAAGGCCUUCGGGUCGUAAAGUCCUUUUGAGGGGAAGAGGAAGGACGGUACCCUCAGAAUAAGCCUCGGCUAACUACGUG